GCGGCAUAUUGGCGCCGAAAUAAUUAAUUAUAAAUUGACUGUCUCGACAUUAAUAACCCAUUUGGCAUUUGCAUAUAAAUUAGAACAUUCGAAAACAACAGCCUCCACAACACACUUGCCAAUACCACAGAAACGUAUAACUAAACCAGUGUGAUGCUAACUUAAUACGGCGCGACUACCGCAUACCCCUUGAUCACAGGAGAUACAAAGCGGGGUAUCACAGUAUAAUCUUAGCUUCUUAGCAGAGCUAAAGACAUACAAGAAAACAAAUCAUAAGUGGGCAAGGCAAUCAUCGUAUACUUAGACAAAACAAACAUGAACAUCAGCACGCGCACCAGGCUUUAGGCUUACGACUUGACGUCACAUGGGGCUUUCUUCCAUCGCAUGAUUCACAGCUCCGUUCCCUACUGCGGUUCUCCAUCUAAGCCGAAUUAUUACCUGAUCUAAACAUAGCU